AUACGUAUGGAGCAAGCGUUAUCCGGAUUUACUGGGUGUAAAGGGAGCGUAGACGGCAUAGCAAGUCUGAAGUGAAAUCCCAUGGCUUAACCAUGGAACUGCUUUGGAAACUGCCAGGCUAGAGUGCAGGAGAGGUAAGCGGAAUUCCUAGUGUAGCGGUGAAAUGCGUAGAUAUUAGGAGGAACACCAGUGGCGAAGGCGGCUUACUGGACUGUAACUGACGUUGAGGCUCGAAAGCGUGGGGAGCAAACAGGAUUAGAUACCCUGGUAGUCCACGCCGUAAACGAUGAUUACUAGGUGUUGGUUGUCAUAGACAAUCGGUGCCGCAGCAAACGCAAUAAGUAAUCCGCCUGGGGAGUACGUUCGCAAGAAUGAAACUCAAAUGAAUUGGCGGGG
rnacentral:rRNA from 1 species